ACCACGGAGGGUGAUGAAGAGAAGAAGAAGGUUCCUGCUGUGCCAGAAACCCUUAAGAAAAAGUGAAGGAGAGAGCUGAAGAUCAACUGCCUGAGAAAGAAGUUUGCCUAAAACAUGCUUUGAAAGGCAAGAAGGAAGCUUAUCUAUGAAAAAGUGAAGCCCUAUCACAAACAACAUAGGCAGAUGUACAGAACUGAAAUUCGAAUGGCGAGGAUGGAAAGAAAAGCUGGCAACUUCUAUGUACCUGCGGAACCCAAAUUGGCCUUUGUCAUCAGGAUCAGUGGUAUCAAUGGCGUGAGCCCAAAGGCCAGAAAGGUGUUGCGGCUUCUUUGCUUUCGUCAAAUCUUCAAUGGAACCUUUGUGAAGCUCAGCAAGGCUUUAGUUAACAUGCUGAGGAUUGUAGAACCAUAUAUUGCAUGGGGGACCCAAAUCUGAAGUCAGUAAAUGAACUAAUCUACAAGUGUGGUUAUGGCAAAAUCAGUAAGAAGCAAAUUGCUUUGACAGAUAACGCUUUGAUUGCUUGACCUCUUGGUAAAUUUGCACGGAGGAUCUGAUUCAUGGGAUCUACACUGUUGGAAAAUGCUUCAAAGAAGCAAGUAACUUCUGUGGUCCUUCAAAUUAUCUUCCCCACAAGGUGGAAUGAAGAAAAAGACCCAUUCAUUUUGUAGAAGGUGGAGAUGCUGGCAACAGGGAGGAUCAGAUCAACAGGCUUCUUAGAAGAAUGAACUGAGGUGUCUACCAUGAUUAUUUUUCUAAGCUGGUUGGUUAAUAAACAGUAUCUGCUCUCAAACUG